CAGUAAUUUAUUUCUGCUACAUUUGUUAUUCGUAAUUUCAUAAACACAUAACCAUAAUUAAUGUAGCAGAUGUUUUGCAUUAAGCCUUGGUGUACGCCCAUUAUUAACUGUGGGUUGUUAAGAGGUGUAUAAAAGCCUGUCGGAGAAUAGUGGAAGUUGCGUCAUCGUCCAGCUGACUCCCUGUGGUGGGUGUGUCACUGCCGUGCGUUUGGCUGGUGUCUGUUCGGUUGCUGUUGCACCAUAGAGUGGCUACUGUGGGGCGUUGGGAGCUUUUGAGAAGUCGCGUUUCCUAGAGCUGAACUCUCCCUCGUGAUUCUGUUGACACUUAUGCGCGUUCCCGUGACUGCUGUCUUCCCAAUCGUUAGUUAUUAAUACGGACGCCUGGCUUUGCCGGAGGGAUGACUGGCAUCUCGUGUAGCGAUUGCACUGUGGAUUGAGCGUCUUCACCUGCCCUUGACACUUGCUGGAUGCUGCUGUUUUGUUUCUGUUAAUUUAGUUUUGAUUCUGUUUUGUUUC